rnacentral:rRNA from 1 species
CAUUACCGAGUUCAUGCCCUCACGGGUAGAUCUCCCACCCUUUGUAUACCUUACCUUUGUUGCUUUGGCGGGCCGCCUAGCUACUGGCUUCGGCUGGUAAGUGCCCGCCGGAGAACCCCAAACCCAACCCAUUUAUAGUGUCGUCUGAGUAAAAUUUUAAUAUUUAAAACUUUCAACAACGGAUCUCUUGGCUCUGGCAUCGAUGAAGAACGCAGCGAAAUGCGAUAAGUAAUGUGAAUUGCAGAAUUCAGUGAAUCAUCGAAUCUUUGAACGCACAUUGCGCCCCUUGGUAUUCCGAGGGGCAUGCCUAUUCGAGCGUCAUUAUCACCCCUCAAGCUCCGGCUUGGUGUUGAGGCCUGCUGUAAAGGCACCCUCUAAAAUCAGUGGCAGUGCUGUCAGGCUCUAAGCGUAGUAAUUUCUCUCGCUACAGAGUCCCGGUGGACACUCGCCAGAACCCCCCCAUUUUUUAAUGAUUGACCUCGGAUUAGGUAGGGAUACCCGCUGAACUUAA